GGGGGCCCCCAACCGGGGGACCAGGUGGUUCAUUUCAACCCACCCCAAAAAACCUUACCUGGGCUUGAACUGGAGUGGGAGCACGCAGAUAUGUCUGUGUCCUUUUCAGGACUGCUCUAGGGGUGCCGCGGGGGUGUCCUCCUCUCGUGUCGAGAGGUGUUGGGUUAUCUCCCGCAACGAGCGCCCCCCUUGUCCUUUUUUGCUAACUUGUUACGCUGACAACCCUAAGGAAACUGUCGGCAAUAAGCCGGAAGAAGGUGGGGAUGACGUCAAGUCCUCGUGGCCUUUAUGUCCAGGGCUACACACGUGCUACGAUGGGCGGCACAAAGGGUCACAAACCCGCGGGGGGGAGCCAAUCCCAUAAAACCGUUCUCACUUCUGAUUGCACUCUGCAACUCGACUGCAUGAAGCUGGAAUCGCUAGUAAUCGCGGAUCAGCAUGCCGCGGUGAAUACCUUCCCGGGCCUUGUACACACC
rnacentral:rRNA from 1 species